GACUUCAACUGAAAAAGUCGUCAAUAACAAAGUUGUAUAAUCCAUCUAGAUCUACAAUUUUCAUUUUGGUCAUUUCUUCAUCGAUAAAUUAAUAGUAACAUUGUUCACAAAUUUUACAUAUCUCCCAUAUGGUUUCAUAAAUUAUAAGAGAGAUGUGUAAAUUUUGUGAUAGUAACAUUGUUCACAAAUUUUACAUAUCUCCCAUAUGGUUUCAUAAAUUAUAAGAGAGAUGUGUAAAUUUUGUGAACAAUGUUACUAUCACUUUAUCGGAUGAACAAAUGACCAAAAUAAAAGUUAUAUAUUUUGAUGAGUUAUACAACUCUGUUGUUGCUGACUUUUUCAGUUGAAAUC
rnacentral:pre_miRNA from 1 species